GUUUUAAAAGCAUUAUAACUGGCUGAUUGUCAUUGGUGAAAAAUAACGAGGCAUAAUGCCACAAAGGCAGCUGAAGCUGCUUUUCCGGGCUUCUGAUUGGACAAAAAAAUCCUCAGCUCGAAGGGAAACUCAAAAUCAACAAGUGGAGCAACAAGUGGAAUCGUUCUUACAAAGCUAAGGAAUAAAGAUGGACCUGUACAACAUUGAGGCUUGCCACCCACUGCCCAGGAAAAACAACGAUGGACCUGCCAUUAUAAUGACGUUUGUCAGAUUCCGUACAUUUCAGCCAAAAUAUAUCUUAUAUACCCACACCACAGAACAAUUACAAUAAAGGCUGCGUAAAAUA